AAAACAUUUUCCCCUUUCUUAUCAACAAAGUUUUUUAAACUAUGGAAUCUCGAAACUACCCUCAACCUCAACCUCAACCCCACCAUCACCAACAAUCCCCCCCCCCCCCCCCAGUCCCAUGAACUUGUAAACCCAGACAUUGAUAUGGUAUGCGCAAUAGUCACUUUUAACUGACACCAACUACCGAAUCUCGUGAAAAAAAUCCUCUCAAUUCAGUUUCUACUCCUACUCCAGUGGUGAAUCAAGCAGAUUCUAUUGCUAUUGCUCCUGCUCCUUUAGAAAACCUAGUUAAGCAAUCCCGUGGAAGUCCCCCAGGCUCUGGAAAGAAGCAACGCCCAAAUUCUUUAUGUAUGUAUUGUAUAUAUAAUAUCUUCAUUAUGAAUCUAGAUCUAGUUUGGGAAUAUAUAUAUAUAUAUAUAUAUAUAUAUAUUGAUGACGUAAAAACUUUAAAUUAUAUAUAUUUAUAUCAUAAGCAACCUCUCUACCUCCCGAGGUAUAGAUAAGAUCUUUGUAUACCAACAUUAUGGGUACGUUAUUGUUGCUGAUAUUCAUCUGUUCAUAAAAUAAUAAUUUUACCGUAAAUCAUAUAAAUUCUGGUGCACCUGGUACAGAAACCUCGGCUAAGAAGUCCCGUGGGAUGCCCCCAGGCUCUGGAAAGAAGAAGCAACCAGAAAGUUUAGGUUUAUAUUUUUUGCAUUAUUUCUUCAGUUUGUAUGUAGCUUCUAAUUUGGAAAUUAUUUAAUUUAUAUCCAUUGAAAACAAAUAAUUUUAUUUUAUGGAUGGAUAUUUGUAGUUAAGCUGACAUUUUUACUAUCAAUGCAUAGAGGUUUGAUUCAAUUGGAAAAUAUAUGCUAAAUUUUUAUAUUCCCUUCUUGUUUCCUCAACUAUCUCUUAGGUAGGGCUGGGCAUGGAGCCGAGCCGAUUCGACUCAAUUGAAGUUUGGUCAAAGCUCGAGCUCGAUUGAAACAACUCGGCUCGGCUCGAUAGGCUCACUUUGGUUAUUUAAUAACUCCUUUAAAACUAACAAUUCAUUCAUUAACCUUAAUAAAGUUACAACAAUGUUAAUUUAACAUUUAAUAACUCUAUAAUUUACAAAAUAUUUUCCAUUUUAUUCUCAACAAAGGUUUUUUUGAAUUAUGGAUACUCGAAAAAAAUAACCCACAUCCCAUAUCCACUUCUCAUCUAUGCUACCCCACCAUCACCACCACCACCAACCUCCACCCAAAUCCCAUGAACUUGAACAACCAGAUAGUGAUAUGAUACGUGCAGUUGUCACUUUCAAUCAACAAUCGAAUCUCCACCAAAAUCCUCUCAGUUCGCUUUCUACUCCUACUCCAGUGAUAAAUCAAGCAAAUUCUUCUGCUAUUGCUCCUGUUCCUUUAGAAAACUCAGCUGAGAAAGCCCAAGGUUGUGGAAGGCCCCCAGGCUCUGGAAAGAAACAACACACAAUUCUUUAGAUCAUAAGCAAACUCUCUACCUCCUCCGGUAGGGUAAGAUCUUUGUACACUUACAUCACGGAUUUUGGUGCACCUGCUUAUGAAACCCCGGCUAAGAAGGCCCGUGGGAGACCCCUAGGCUCCGGAAAGAAGAAGCAGCCAGAAACUUUAGGAAGGGCUGGCAUGGAGCUGAGCCAGCUCGACUCAGCUCGGAUGUAGCUCAGCUCAAUUAAAGUUUGGUCAAAGCUCAGGCUAGAUAUAGAAAGUUCGACUCAGCUCGAUAGUCUCGCUUUGAUCGUAUAAUGACUAUUUUAAAACAAACAUUCAUUCAUUAACCUUAGUUAAGUUAGA